rnacentral:rRNA from 1 species
UUAAAUGAAUUGACGGGGCCCGCACAAGCGGAGGAACAUGUGGUUUAAUUCGAUGAUACGCGAGGAACCUUACCUGGGCUAGAACGCCGGACGCAUGUGGGGGAAACCCUACAGCCCGCAAGGGCGGCCGGCGAGGUGCUGCAUGGUUGUCGUCAGCUCGUGCCGUGAGGUGUCGGGUUAAGUCCCAUAACGAGCGCAACCCCUACCGUUAGUUGCCAGCGGGUCAUGCCGGGAACUCUAGCGGAACUGCCAGCGUAAGCUGUGAGGAAGGCGGGGAUGACGUCAAAUCAGCACGGCCCUUACGUCCAGGGCUACACACGUGUUACAAUGGCCGGUACAGAGGGCAGCCACCCCGCGAGGGGGCGCGAAUCCCGAAAGCCGGUCGCAGUUCGGAUCGGAGUCUGGAACCCGACUCCGUGAAGCUGGAUUCGCUAGUAAUCGCAGAUCAGCAUGCUGCGGUGAAUACGUUCCCGGGCCUU